rnacentral:rRNA from 1 species
CCCAAGGAUGGGGCCGCGACCGAUCAGGUUGUUGGUGAGGUAACGGCCUACCAAGCCUUUUACCGGUACGGGCCGUGAGAGCGGGAGCCCGGAGAUGGGCACUGAGACAAGGGCCCAGGUCCUACGGGGCGCAGCAGUCGCGCAAACUUUGCAAUACACGAAAGUGUGACAGGGCUAUCCCGAGUGCCGUCCACUGAGGGUGGCUUUUACCCAGUCUAGAAAGCUGGGAGAAUAAGGAGAGGGCAAGUCUGGUGUCAGCCGCCGCGGUAAUACCAGCUCUCCGAGUGGUGUGGAUGUUUAUUGGGCCUAAAGCAUCCGUAGCUUGCUGAUCAAGUCCCCUGUUAAACCCAACGAAUCAAUCGUUGGAUUGCGGGGGAUACUGCUCGGCUAGGGGACGGGAGAGGCCGACGGUAUUUUCGGGGUAGGGGUGAAAUCCUAUAAUCCCGAGAGGACCACCAGUGGCGAAGGCUGUCGGCUAGAACGCGCCCAACGGUGAGGGAUGAAAGCUGGGGGAGCGAACCGGAUUAGAUACCCGGGUAGUCCCAGCUGUAAACGAU